rnacentral:rRNA from 1 species
CUUUCAACAACGGAUCUCUUGGUUCUGGCAUCGAUGAAGAACGCAGCGAAAUGCGAUAAGUAAUGUGAAUUGCAGAAUUCAGUGAAUCAUCGAAUCUUUGAACGCACAUUGCGCCCCCCGGUA